CUUAGGGUCCCUUCACACUCUUAACAAUCAUUGAGGAGCCCAAAGAGCUCUUGCUCAUGUGGCCUCUCUCUAUCUAUAGAUAUUUACAGUUUUAGGAAUUGAAACUGAGAAAACUUUAAAAUAUUUAUUAAUUCAUUUUAAAAUAAAAAUAAUAAACCCAUUAUAUGUUAACAUAAAUAACUAUAUUUUCCAAAACAAAAACGAUUAGUGAGAAGAGCGACAUUGUUUUACGUUUUUGUAAAUCUCUUUAAUGUCAGGCUUAAUACAAGACAGCUGGAUUCUUGUAACUGCGUCUGCAUUCAAUCUGUUGUGAUAUCACAUCGUGUUGUCUCUGGAAAAAUCCACGGCGAAACUGGGUGAGGAAAGGGGAAAAGGGAAACAUAUCUUGGUACUAUUGUGAAAAGAGUUUUGGUCAUGUAGGCCCCAGAAAGGGUCUCAGGGACCCUCAGGGGUCCCUGGACCACAUUGUUGGAACUGCCACUCUAGAAUAAACAGGACUGUGUUCCUAUGUCACUGCAUUACUGAGGACCACACCCCCACUCCAAAUUAAGUCCCGCACAAGGUGUCCUGCUCCCCCAGGUUGUCUACAAAUUGAUGUUUAAGUUUUUUCUAGGAGGGUGCAGCUUCCCCACCCCUAAAUCCUGAGAGAAGUAAGUCUUUUUAUCUCCAGAGUCUAUACCUGUAUUGGGGUCGGACCACGCAGAAGACUGUGUGCACCUACCAACUUGGGGUCUGUAACGGAUGUCAAGUUGGCUUACACAGUCCAUAAAGAAGAAAAAUCAAGCCAAUAGAAACAAGCAAACAAGUACGCAAAAGGUAGCUUCAGUUACCUGUUAGAGAAACAGAAUGACUAAUUCAGACAUCAAAGUAAUUGGGCACAUCACGUGGAGCGGGCCUUCCAAACGACAGAGCUGCUCUAGAGUGGAAAUGAGUAUGCGUGGAAUCGCAUGCAGAAUGCACAAGGAGAAUAAGCUGAUAACGUUUCAGCCAACAGUGCUGUGUGGCCUCCUGCAUUCAGACAGACAGUGCUAGACCACAAUCCAAAGACUGGGUUUGGGCAUGGGAAGUCUGCUGCCAGUUCCAUGUGCGUGUGUGUGAUCUGGGCAGGUUAAUUCCCCCUGGCUCGUCUCCCGACCUGUAAAAUGGAAAAAGUGUCACUGUCCUGCCUUUCUUCAGGUCUGUAGGGCACCGCAGUGAUGAAGAUGGCUGGAGAAGGCCCUGGGAAAUGGUGCUGUGCUUUGUAGAUGACAGGGCCCCUCAGGAAAAGGUCAGAGACCAGGACUGGGACGGGCAGCACCCACAGAGAAAGCUGCCAGCCUGGCUGUCUUGUGGAAUAAUGGCCAAGUUCUCCUUACCAAUCCUCCUCCCCUCCCCUGCCUUCCCCCCCACCCCCCCUGCCCCGGCCUGAUCCCGUCUCCACGCUGGCAUGAAGAAGGAGUCGGAGGGCCAUGUUCAGAAAGAGUCUUCCUGUUCUCAGUUUCUCACAGGCUUAGCUGAGCCCCCCCAAGGUGGGAGCAGAUGCAACUCCCCUGGGUUUGGGUAGAGACAACUGUUUCCCUUGGAAAGCUUGCUGCUAAUCUGCACGGUGUCUGCCAAGCCCCAGGAGCCAGCUGAAGCCAUGCGCCCAGGGUGUUUUGCCAAUGUCUCCAUACAGCCUUCGCCAGCCGUUGCCUACCUCCUAUCCGCUGCUGGACAAACUGUGACCUGCCCCCAGUCAGGCUGGUCGGCGGAGACUGACAGUAAGGCCUGAUCCACCAAAGUGACCGUGGACAGCAACUGGCAGAGGGCCAGGAUAGCACCAACGCCAAGAAGUACUCAUGCCUUGCCACUGUGGCUGUUGGUCGUGAUCUUAUGGAAGAAGUAAAGGAUGGUUCCAGAAGUACCAAAGGGGUGACGAGCACAGGCUGCUUUAACUGCUUCUCAGAGAAGAAUGAUUGUGUGCCAUUUCCUCUGUGCCAACCACUGUGCUUAGGGCUUUAUCCUUAUGAUGUAUAAACAUGUGGGCCUCACUGGAACCACCACACAGCAGAGUGGGAAGGGAAACUUUGGCCAACUGAGAUGAUCACUCGACAGUGCCUGGGAUCAAAGCCAAAAUGGCUGCCACCCACCGAAGGACCUUCCACUCUCCCUGUCACUCAUUGUGACAGGGUGGGAGGAGCCAGUCUGCCUAAAGUUCAACUUGGAGAGCAUCUAUCAAGACACACCUGGAGAAGGCUGUGGAGGCAGAGUUUCUGGGCUGUGUGUGACUGAACUGAGGGGUCUCAGCUUCACAGAAAAGGCAACAAGAACGAACCUCAGUACUUAUACCGGUCUUCAUUUAACAUUUUACAAAAAGCCAUGACCUCUACCACCUCUCUGGAACCUCUCAUUAAGCCCAGAGGUCAGCAGGACAGGAGCCUCAUCCCUUUUGUACAAAUGAGAAUUCUAAAGUUCAGAGAGGUGAGGCAACUUAGCUGCCCAAAGACCCGAACCUCGUGUCAGAGGCUGAAUACUGGCCCCCAAAGAUGUCCAUGUCCCAAUCCCUGCAACCAGUGAAUGUUAUACGGCAGAGGGGACUUUGCAGGUGUGAUUAAAUAAAGGAUCUUGAGAAGGAGAGAUUAGCCUGAAUUUUCUGGAUGGGCCCUAAAUGCCAUCACAAGUGUCCUUAUAAGAGGGAAGCUGAGGGAGAUUUGACACAGACAGAAGAGGAGAAGGCCACGUGAUGUCAGAAGCAGAGGUUGGAGUGAUGCACUUUGAAGAUGGAGGAUGGGGCCACGAGCCAAGGAAUGCAGGCAGCCACCAGAAGCUGGAAAAGGCCAAGGAAAUGGAUUCUCCCCUCAGAGCCUCCAGAAGGAGCCAGCUUGUUGACAUCUUGACUUCAGCCAAAUGAAACUAACUUUGGGCUUCUGCCCCCUAGAACGAGGAGAGUAAAUUUACAUUAUUUUAAGCCACUAAGUUGGUGGUACUCUCUUACAGCAGCCACGGGAAACUGAUUGGUCGGCUAAUGGCAAAGCUGGGACAGAGGCCAGUCCUCUCAUCACCCAGACAGAGGCAGAAGGCCGCCUCUGCUCUUGGCAAAGCUUCCCCAGGGAUGGCACAGGCAGGGGCAGAGGAUGGGAGGACUUCGGGAGGAGACGAUGAUGGUUCAGGAACAGGAGGCUGCUGGGAGCCACCAGCUCAAAGUCCCUUGCUUGAGGCUCGUCAUGUGACUUAUCCGACCCUUCAAGGAAGGGACUAGGAGCAUGGAGGCCAUGGCCUGUCCCUGAGCCCAGGGGCUGGGAUGCUCAGCCCCUUGCGGACUGCAUGAGGACCUGCCGACUGAGACUGGAGCGAUGGCUUCUGCAGUCUGUCACCGCCUCCUUCACUGAGUCCUAGGUGCCCCUGCUGAUGUGAGGUGGCCUCUGUCUGACUCCAGGCUCCUGUGGCACUGAGGGGAGGUGCCAAGGUCAACUCGGACCUGGCUGCUGCUGCCUCCAGCCUGGAGAAGACCCAUCUGAACCGGGGGCAGACCCGGUCCGGUCCGCUGCCUCCCCUCCCCUGCCCCGAGGAGGUUGGUGCAGAGCAGCUAAUCGGGAAGCUGGGAGUGCAGGUGGCACUCCGUACCACCUGGAGCCAUCUCCGAGAGAGUGUCCACAUCCUUCGAGGCUGGCGAGGAAUACCAAUUGCACGGUUACUGGGCCCCCUCAGGAACCCACAAGAGGAAAUUAAAAGGCAUACACACGCCUGGAAUAAAGGGCCCUCUUCUUGCAGCUAAUCACCGAAAUUGGUCACUGGGUUGUCCCCUCCCCCCUUUGGUGAAAGACAUGGUCUUUCUCUUUUCUGGCUCAUCACUGUGUUCUUAGAAAUGUGCGAGGGGGGCUGAGCUUUGCACGGGCCUCCCCCCGCCGUCCUCCCCCGCAGCCCUCGCUUUCUCCUCAGUCCUUGCUUUUCCCAGCAUGAGGGGCAACAGUUUGUGCCAUCUAAUGCAGGAGACAGAUCAGUCCCAGCCCCAAGGCCAUGCGGGUGGGAGGAGUGGCCCGGCAUCUCUAUGAGUGCCUCCUGCAGGGCCCCUUGCAGGUUGCAAAACGUUUCCACUUCCCUGCCGCAAGUGCUUCACAACCUGAUUAGGCUUACUGCUGCCAUUUUACCUCAAUGAAGUGGCCUGAAAUGACAGGCCUGGUAGUCAGGGCUCGAACCCAGGACUUUAGCUUCAGGGUCCACUGCCUCCUGCUAGUGUGUGUGUCUCUGGGCUGUCGGGCAAUGGGAGAACCCUCUGCAUCCCCUUAUCGAAGUCUGGGCAGCCCCGAGAGCAGGAGCAGGAGCAGGAUGACGCCUGUGGCUGCCGGGAGAGACCACAAGGGAGAGGGGGGGCUUUAUGUAACAAUUGUCCCAGCAGCGAGCACUGCCCAGGCACACACGAGAUGCCCUCUCAAGGCCUGCUGAGAGGCAGCAGGAGGGAGAUCUCAGGGAAGAGCCUGCCUACCCCGGGAAGGCCUCCUCUGGGGGCCUCCCUUUCCCCUGCCAGGCUAGUGACGGGGUUGGGUCACCUGAUCUCCAGGACCGCUUUCCCCAUGAGUUCCGGAGAGUUGAUCUAAGCUGUGGUCUGGCCUCCUGUCCCAGCUGUGGGCACUUAGGUCUGUGGGUGCUCUGCAGAGGCCUGGCCCAGAGAAGACGCGGGUGAUGUGGCCUGUGAUCUUAGUGUUGAUGGGAAAUCCUAAUAUUUAUACUAUAGUGUGUUGAGUGUUGACCCCCUAAAAGAUAGGUCCACUCGGAAUCUGUAAAUGUGACCUUAUUUGUAAAAGGAUCUUUGCAGAUGUAAUGAAGUUAAGGGUCUCAAGAUGAGAUAUUCUGAUUAUCCAGGUUGGCCCUAAAUCUAGCAACAGGGGUUCUUAUAAGAGAGAGGAAAAAGGAGAUCUGAGACACACAGGGAAGAAGAUGGAAGCAGAGAUUGGAGGGACACAGCCACAAGCCAAGGAAUGCCUGGGGCCACCAGAAGCUGGAAAAGGCGGUUCUUGGAGUCUUCAGAGGGAGCACGGCCCUGCUGACACCUUGAUUUCAGACUCUGGCCUCCAGAACUUCACAGGAAACCAACACACAUACCGUGCCACAUGGUAGCAACAAUACCAAGGAGAGGAAGGAUGGAAAAAGAGGAAGGAGAAG
rnacentral:lncRNA from 1 species